rnacentral:tRNA from 1 species
AUCUUUCUAGUAUAAAGCAAAUAUAAGUGACUUCCAAUCAUUUGAUCUUGGUUAAACCCCAAGGAAAGAUA